UGGGGCGUGGCCAAGUGGUAAGGCAUCGGUUUUGGUACCGUGUACCGUAGGUUCGAAUCCUACCGCCCCAGCCA
rnacentral:tRNA from 1 species